CGUGGUGACAAAGGGCGGAGAAAGCGAAACAAGUUGAAAGAUGGAGCUAUCGAAAUCCCAUCAUAUCACUUCAGCCUGUUUCGAAAACAAAUCCGGAAUAAUUACGGAACAACGGAACGCACACGAGGCGAAUUACACGAUCACGGGUCUUCUACUUGCUGCCUCCGUCCUAGCUUCUUCUAAUUCUUCUAGUUAGAAUCUUCUGCCGUCUGCCACCGGAACCGACGCCGGAGAGCAGAGCGAGACGGCCUGAGUUCCGGAGGGUCUAGUGGGGCAGAGGCCCCUAAUGGGUAGUCCGCGGGUGCGAGCGGGACGGCCCGAGACCGCCAGCUCUCGGGAGAGCGAGAGCAAUUCUCCACGCUCUCUCCUCCAUUCUCACUCUCCGUUCUCUGCCGAUCUGCUGCCGCUGCUGACGUCUGCUCAAUUUUGAACGUUGAUCUUCGUCGCGUUUCAAAACUUUUGUUGCUUUCGUUCCGAUCUUUUCUACACUGGGUGCCUCUACACUGAGAGAAAAUCCUACGAAAUUGGAAAGCUUUAUGAGUAAAGAGUAAAAACUACCAAGAAUGUUUAACUUUGACUAUAUUUUUAUGUUAUAAAAAAGUUAUAAAAAAAUCGUUCCGAAAAGGAACAUCAGUGUUCUUUAAAAGAUCAACAUAUUUCUGUUCUUUCUUUGAGCAAAUGUGAAAUGUGAAUGCGAAUGAGUUCGCUCGCUAAUUGUCCGCCUGUUGCAAUUUCUUCGUUUGACCAGGCGAAUGCAAUUAGUGCGACUGCCGGACGUCUGAGGCCCGUCAGAAUGUGAAACUGCGCCGUCGGUACUCCCCUUACUCCACAUACUCCCCUACUUUCCAUACUCCCCGUCAAAGACCCACGCACUCUUCAUGUCAAUAUGCAUGGAGCUAUUUUGGGUGGAUUUAACAAUAGACCGAAAAAAGAGGCAGCCAAGGAUGAAGAUUGUGAUGUCUCCAGACUUUUAAAUACCCAUAAAAAUAGAUUUCCAUGGUAAGGAUGGAGUUUAUACGACCUUCUAAAAUGUUUAUGAACUAUCUUUUUGGAGCACUCUGUGGAUGCACGCACAUGUGCUCCCCAUCACAGCUGCUCGUGAUCCUUUGGCGACGAGAAAUCAGCGCUCAAAUAUGAUUAAUAAGUAAUUUCUUUGUCAAGAAGUGACUGGGGAUGGCCUGAUAUGACGACAGCCGCGAUAACGACAACGAGAAUGAGAACGGAACGACGCCAUGGAAAUCUUUAAUAAAAUACACGCAUAAAUAAAUUAUAGGGCAAACAGAGGCGAGGAAAAACAAACUGGAUGGAGAUGAACUGCUCCGAAUGGAGGCAAACUGGUAUCAAAACAAAGCGGUGACGGCAAAGAUACACAGAUACAAGAUACAAAGGGGUGACAUGUGCAGCCGAGGCGUGACCGCACUUCCCUUUUUUCCGGGCAUAUAUACAGGAACCCCCCCCUCCACAUUGCCUUUUCCCAGCCACUUUUCAGAGCUCCUUGGCCUUGGCGUUUCCCUGUUUAUUUCACAGUUGUAAAUUGCACAAAGUUAAUGAAGUGCUUUUUAUUAUAAUCCAACAAGCUAACGUUGCCUGUCUUUAGCACAGUGAUAAAAGGAAUAUCUCAAAAUGUUAUUAGAUUAUGGAAGAUAUAUGUUAUCUGCAAUAUAUAAAGUUUAAAUAGCACAGCGCAAAAUCCAAUUCAACUCUGCAGCCUACUGUAUUGAAUUGAUUGCCUAUUUUGAAUAUAUUUUUCUUUGUGUACUCCUCGUAUCCCGCGCUUUUCCCUCCUGGUAUCUUGACUUUUCUUUGAAUGCGGCCCGCUUGCCAAGUGUCGUUGACUCUCGCUGACCUAGAGGGAAAAUAAAACCAAGGGAAAUGCCUUGCCAAGAUUCAUGUGUAGAUGAUUCUGGGAAAUGAAGAAAGUUUCAGUCUCGACAUACAGAAGCGGAAGGCCCGAAAACGAUUUCUGUCAACUUCUGGAGAAUUUUCAUUGCCUGCCGUCCAUUAAUUGAGCUGUUGGAGGGCUGGCUGGGAAAUUGCGGGAAAUCGGGGAACAGCAGCUGGCAAUCGACCGAUGUAAGAUUCGGAUUCGCCCGCACUCGACUUGUUUGACUUGCGAUUUUCCUUUUAACUGAAGCGAAAUGCAGUUAGCAGCAGCAGCCGGAAAGUGUAGAAAAAGACAAACACCCGGAUGGCUGGAUGUGGAUGGGUAAUGGGUGGGUCGGGAAUGCAGUUCGGGGGAAACUAAAACGGAAACUGCAAACAGUAGGGAUUCGCUCAGCAUACUUUUAGGUGCAGCUUGGCUGGAAGCAAUGGAAUGUCUCUAAUCUGGUAGCCAACUACUGCAACUACUACUACUGGCAUGCAUAAAUCUGCAGUGGCGAAGAAUCUCUGGCCGGAUUGUCUGCCCCGCACACCCGGCGAAUGAGCAAUUUCCCAGCAAUUCUUUGGCCAUUGCCAAUGUUUGCCCUCGCAAGCAUGCUGCGGAAAAUGUUCGCUUAUCGGAAUCCAAGUGGGUCUCAACACUCACCGCAAAGGAACACUGCAAAAAACAAAGCAUUAGAUGGCUUGAAAAAAAGCUUAGAGUGGCUUCUCCCAAAAGAGUGGUAGUGGGGCGAGCUGCAACUGUUCUGGCCAAGAAGGUUUAUCAUCAACUGCACGUCGCAAGCUAAAAGAGUGGGUUGCACUGGAAUAUUUGCUAUGUAUUUCGCAUUUGUAUCUGUGCCAGUAGUCGUAUCUGUAUCUGCAGCUUGCUGCGGGCUGUGGACAGUGAACAGUCGAAGCAGAAAUGGAAAUAAAUAGUU